rnacentral:rRNA from 1 species
AGAGUUUGAUCCUGGCUCAGAUUGAACGCUGGCGGCAGGCUUAACACAUGCAAGUCGAACGGAGAUAGUGUGCUUGCACAUUAUUUUAGUGGCGAACGGGUGAGUAAUGCCUAGGAAUCUGCCCAUUAGCGGGGGAUAACGUGUGGAAACGCACGCUAAUACCGCAUACGCCCUACGGGGGAAAGCAGGGGACUCUUUGGAGCCUUGCACUAAUGGAUGAGCCUAGGUCGGAUUAGCUAGUUGGUGGGGUAAAGGCCUACCAAGGCGACGAUCUGUAGCGGGUCUGAGAGGAUGAUCCGCCACACUGGAACUGAGACACGGUCCAGACUCCUACGGGAGGCAGCAGCGGGGAAUAUUGGACAAUGGGGGCAACCCUGAUCCAGCCAUGCCGCGUGUGUGAAGAAGGCCUUUUGGUUGUAAAGCACUUUAAGCGAGGAGGAGGCUACCUGUAUUAAUACUAUAGGCUAGUGGACGUUACUCGCAGAAUAAGCACCGGCUAACUCUGUGCUAGCAGCCGCGGUAAUACAGAGGGUGCGAGCGUUAAUCGGAAUUACUGGGCGUAAAGCGCGCGUAGGCGGUUUGUUAAGUCGGAUGUGAAAUCCCCGGGCUCAACCUGGGAAUUGCAUUCGAUACUGGCAAGCUAGAGUAUGGGAGAGGAAGGUAGAAUUCCAGGUGUAGCGGUGAAAUGCGUAGAGAUCUGGAGGAAUACCGAUGGCGAAGGCAGCCUUCUGGCCUAAUACUGACGCUGAGGUGCGAAAGCAUGGGGAGCAAACAGGAUUAGAUACCCUGGUAGUCCAUGCCGUAAACGAUGUCAACUAGCCGUUGGGGGAUUUGAUCCUUUAGUGGCGCAGCUAACGCGAUAAGUUGACCGCCUGGGGAGUACGGUCGCAAGACUAAAACUCAAAGGAAUUGACGGG